UACGGAGGGGGCUAGCGUUGUUCGGAAUUACUGGGCGUAAAGCGUACGUAGGCGGCUUUGUAAGUUAGAGGUGAAAGCCUGAUGCUCAACAUCAGAAUUGCCUUUAAGACUGCAUCGCUUGAACGUCGGAGAGGUGAGUGGAAUUCCGAGUGUAGAGGUGAAAUUCGUAGAUAUUCGGAAGAACACCAGUGGCGAAGGCGGCUCACUGGACGACUGUUGACGCUGAGGUACGAAAGCGUGGGGAGCAAACAGG
rnacentral:rRNA from 2 species